rnacentral:rRNA from 1 species
GACGAACGCUGGCGGCGCGCUUAACACAUGCAAGUCGAGCGAAGCGGCGGACGGGUGAGUAACACGUGAGUAACCUGCCUUAGACCUUGGGAUAGCCUCGGGAAACCGGGAUUAAUACCAACUGGUCUAAGAUGGGCUCGCGUCCCCUUAGCUAGUUGGUGCGGUCACGGCCCACCAAGGCGACGAUGGGUAGCCGGCCUGAGAGGGUGAACGGCGACAUUGGAACUGAGAAACGGACCAAACUCAACGGGAGGCAGCAGUGGGGAAUAUUGCACAAGGGAGGGAACUCUGAUGAAGCGACGCCGAGUGAACGAAGAAGGAUUUCGAGGCGUAAAGUUCUUUUAUAUGGAAAGCGGUACCAUAAGAAAAAGCCCCGGCUAACUACGUGCCAGCAGCCGCGGUAAUAC